rnacentral:rRNA from 1 species
ACCGAAGCUACGGCAUCAGUAAUGAUGGGUAGGGGAGCUUCCCAUACGGGUUGAAGCAUGACCGUAAGGACAUGUGGACAGUAGGGGAGUGAGAAUGUUGGCAUGAGUAGCGAGAUGUGGGUGAGAAGCCCACAGGCCGUAAACCCAAGGUUUCCAGGGGAAGGUUCGUCCGCCCUGGGUUAGUCGGGACCUAAGCUGAGGCCGAAAGGCG